rnacentral:rRNA from 1 species
GUCCACGCCCUAAACGAUGUCAACUGGUUGUUGGGAGGGUUUCUUCUCAGUAACGUAGCUAACGCGUGAAGUUGACCGCCUGGGGAGUACGGCCGCAAGGUUGAAACUCAAAAGGAAUUGACGGGGACCCGCACAAGCGGUGGAUGAUGUGGUUUAAUUCGACGCAACGCGAAAAAACCUUACCUACCCUUGACAUGUCUGGAAUUUUGCAGAGAUGUGAAAAGUGCUCGAAAAGAGAACCAGAACACAGGUGCUGCAUGGCCGUCGU